GUAGUCAUAUGCUUGUCUCAAAGAUUAAGCCAUGCAUGUCUAAGUAUAAGCAAUUGUACUGCGAAACUGCGAAUGGCUCAUUAAAUCAGUUAUCGUUUAUUUGAUAGUGCCUAUCCUACUUGGAUAACCGUGGUAAUUCUAGAGCUAAUACAUGCUAAAAAUCCCGACUUCGGAAGGGAUGCAUUUAUUGGAUACGGAACCAACGCCCUUCGGGGCUUUCUGGUGAAUCACAAUAACUUCGCGGAUCGCACGGCCUUGUGCCGGCGAUGGUUCAUUCAAAUUUCUGCCCUAUCAACUUUCGACGGCUGGGUCUUGGCCAGCCGUGGUGACAACGGGUAACGGGGAAU
rnacentral:rRNA from 1 species